GUUAGUUUGUGAUUUUGAACUCAGUCUAGAUCAAUCAUUGAGGGGGGCGGGGCUUCUCUGUGGCUCUAAAACUGUCAAAUAUCCUGUAUUCAUGUCAGAUGAACAUUAUUAGAAGAUACUGCAAGAUAUGAUCUGCUGUUGUUUCCAGAUGUGGAGGCUUCCAGUGAAACGAAGGUCAUUCAUAAACGAGUCGGGGACACCGUGGAGCUUUCAUCACCCUACGCCAACAAUGACAUCAUAUCAGCUUCCUGGAAAUUUGGAGAGAGAAUCAUUGCAUCCACUAAUUUCACAGUAAAACCAACACAAUUGACAAAGAAGGUGUUUUUGAAUCCUUCAAACUUUAGUUUAACAGUGAAAGCGCUGACUGUGCAUGAUUCUGGGAAUUUUAUUUUUGUUCCUGAAAUGAACGGUGCACAAGGAAAAUCAAUCACCAUCACUUUACAGGUUCACGAGCCGCCUCUUCUGAGAAUAGUUAACUUUACUAUGGAGGCCACAAACCUCUCGUGCACAGUUCUUCUAGAGUGCAACGCAAACGCUAACCACUCAACCAUCUACACCUGGACCAUGAGGAACCAAACCACCACUGGCUCCAAACUGCAAUACUUCCACACACCACAAGGAGAAAAAACCAAUUUCUCUUGUAUGAUUUCCAACGAUGUCCAUCAUAAAUCAGCAUUAAUGGUGUGGACGUGCAGCAAAGAUCCAGUAAAUGUUGUCCUUAUUGGGAGCGUGACAGGAGGAUUUUUACUGCUCGUCAUCUUAAUCGGAGCGAUCUUCUGUUUCCGUUCUAUCAGAGGAAAACGUGCUGCUAAUGAAUGCAGUGACCAAAACGACAUCUCCGUGUAUGCUAGCAUCAAUGAUGCUGUAGUGCGACAUGUCCACACUGUCUACGAUGUGCUCCAGCUUGAUCGUGAUGUCCCUGCCUCGUCCUUUCAGGAAGUUCUUUAAAGAUCCAUGUUAUGGCAAUUUUUAUAUUCAUCAUCAUAUCGUCAAAUGUAUGUUCAUGUGUACAAUUUGUCAUGUUUUAAUACAUGAUGACUCCAUUACUCUUUGCACUUUUGAACAGCUGAAUCAUGUUAGAUUAAACAGUACAGAUCGUAUUGUACUCAGUGCAACACAGAGUCUCUGCUGAAGGCCAUACACACAAACACACACACUAUCAAGGAUAGACAAGAGUGGCGCCCAAUCUUCCUCAUAAUAUACACGUCUUCAUCAUCCUCAAAUGUUUCCACUGUUGGGCAUCUGACUCCCCCCUAUCCUCACCUUAGGGUGGAACUUUUCUGUUAUCUGUAUAAAAACUUAAGCUGUGAAACUGUUAGUUAGAGUGGGUCUUGCCUUUUUGCUCUGCCACGAGCCUUUUGCCUUUCAUUCUUUCAGGAUGGAAGCUUCUUUUUUACUCCUUUUUAUUUUAUUUUAUAAUAAAUCUUUUUUAUUUAAUCA
rnacentral:lncRNA from 1 species